CGGCCUGCGCAGCCUUCCCUCUUGAGGCGCCGGCGAGGCUCGGGCCUGCGCAGUGCUACCCUGGUGCCUGAACCUAGGACGCACAGGCCGCGUGGCAGUCACCGCCUUUUGGGCACCGUGAGGCUUUGCAAUCGAGUGGAAAAAUCAAGUGGAAGAAGAGCUUUCUCUUCAGCACAGGAUUUAAAGAAGUAAAAAUAAGGAUGCCAUUGAAGCUAUUUCAGAUGAAUUCUAAUGUACCUACUAAAGACCCAGGUGUGCUUUCCUCAGCCCCAUAUUUUCAAAUGUUUCCUUGAGUCAUGAACCCAGUGGACUUGGAGUUAACCUAUGUCCCACAGAGCAGGCCUUGGGAGAAUACUGAGCUGCCAUACUGAUGGAUUAUUGGGGCUGCUUCCAAAGCUAUUUGGACAGAACCUCUCAAGCAUCUGGCUGAGCUGAGGGAUGAGUGGCUACACACAUGUGUGCUUACUGAGAGUUUGGGAAGCUAUAAUGAAAGAGCCCCUUCACCACACUGUUACAGGAGCAGAAACCAAAUGCAUUAUCAAUAAUGGCCAGAAAAUCAGACUCUGGGAGCAGCACACAAGAAUCUGUUCAACAAACCCUACAGGGGAUUCUAAUGCUCCGCAAGAUUAGAAAACCUCUAAUAUAGUAUUAUGCAAAUUGUUUUCCCUGAGAUUACAUUUUGGAUGUCCAUUUCAAUAGCUGAUCUAAAACUCUUAAAUAGGAAAAAGGCAACACAAACUGCUGGAGAUUGAAUGUGACAAAGCAAGUACUGGAACUAAAAGGUUUUGGAGAUUUAAUCUAGCAUCCUGUUUCUCAUGCAGAAGAAUGCCUCAUGCAUUGCAGAAAUUUCCCAAUGUUUCACAUUCAUGGAAAGAAAUAUUAAGUAUAUUUUUUUUAUUUUUCCCAUCUUUUUUCUUUAGAUUGCAGAGAGUAAAAUUCCAAAUUUAUACGUGUGUGUGUGUGUGUGUGUGUGUGUGUGUGUGUGUGUGUGUAUACCAAUUUCAACUUAAUUCCUAAAGGAGAAAAAAGAGACUAAAUGUAGACAAAAUUUGAUAACCAAUUUACCCUUCAUAUGCUAAAUCCUUAACUUGUUCUCUGCUUAGGUGCCGAACAAGGAUUUAUGUGUCCAAAAAUAUUCAACUCACUUGACACUUUACAUUAAGAAAAAACAGCAGGCUUCUCAUUCAGUGAGACUCUGCUCCAUGGCUAUUUAUAAAUGAAGUAGAAUAACAAAUCAUUAGGACAUGUUUGAGAUUGGGGAGGGAAAGGCAUGAAUAACUACUGUUAGUAUAUUUCAUGUGUCAGUCUACUAUCUCACCAUUUAUAGAGCCCACAGGAGGAAAUUUUUUUGAUAUUUCUUUCCAGUUAAAACCAGCUGGUAAAAUUUAUAGCUUUUUUGGUUCAUAGAAAACUAUGGCCUUUGUAAAGGAAGGGUGUUAGACUUCAAGUAAGUAAAAGAGUAAAUGAUAUUAUCAAAAAAAUAUUACUUUUCAACUUAUUUUAUACUGGUUCUAUAUCACAGUCUAAUUUCAAUGUUUCUCCAGAACCUGCUAAAAUAGAAAAAGAAAUCAUAUUGGAAAAUUAGAUUAGUCUUACAGAAUGAAUAUCUCAAGAAGGAACAGUUUUUCUGUGUUAGAUGCAGCUGUGUUUAGAUGAAGUCAAGUUGUACCUGCACACAAAUGUUCCUUAACAAAACAACGUACUUAUUAACUAAGAUAAAUCUUACUCAGGAAGAUCUGUUAUAUCUUACUCUAUAUCAACUCUGAAUAUUAUCUAUUAUAUGGAAUGUUUUUUCCAUACAAUAGACACUAGGAAAAUAGAAAAAGAAGCUAAUUUGGGGUUACUUAUCAAGUGACACAUUUGGGAAACCAUAGAAUAAAUUUCAGGAUGCUUAUUGUGAUGGGAUGAAGAUUCUUACAGCAUGAGAGGAUUCUAGUAGUCUGGCAAUGCUCUAUGUCUUAACCUGACUGGUUACUUUGUGAAAAUCAGCAAACUAUAUUCUUGGUAUACGUUCUAUACAUUUGUUGCAUUUCACAGUAAAAAAAAAAAAAAAGAGAGAGAGAGAGAGAGA